rnacentral:rRNA from 1 species
UACGUAGGCAGCAAGCGUUGUUCGGAAUUACUGGGCGUAAAGAGUGUGUAGGCGGUGCUCUAAGUUCGGUGUGAAAUCUCCCGCUUAACUGGGAGGGUGCGCCGGAAACUGGAGUGCUCGAGCGUGGGAGAGGAAAGCGGAAUCCUGGUGUAGCGGUGAAAUGCGUAGAUAUUGGGAGGAACACCAGUGGCGAAGGCGGCUCACUGGACCGGUUCUGACGCUGAGGAGACGAAAGCUGAGGGGAGCAAACAGGG